rnacentral:rRNA from 1 species
CCUACGGGAGGCUGCAGUGGGGAAUAUUGGACAAUGGGCGAAAGCCUGAUCCAGCCAUGCCGCGUGUGUGAAGAAGGCCUUCGGGCUGUAAAGCACUUUCAGUGGGGAAGAAAGCCUUGGGGCUAAUACCCUCGAGGAAGGACAUCACCCACAGAAGAAGCACCGGCUAACUCCGUGCCAGCAGCCGCGGUAAUACGGAGGGUGCGAGCGUUAAUCGGAAUUACUGGGCGUAAAGCGCGCGUAGGCGGUCUGAUAAGCCGGUUGUGAAAGCCCCGGGCUCAACCUGGGAACGGCAUCCGGAACUGUCAGGCUAGAGUGCAGGAGAGGAAGGUAGAAUUCCCGGUGUAGCGGUGAAAUGCGUAGAGAUCGGGAGGAAUACCAGUGGCGAAGGCGGCCUUCUGGACUGACACUGACGCUGAGGUGCGAAAGCGUGGGUAGCAAACAGGAUUAGAUACCCUAGUAGUC